rnacentral:tRNA from 1 species
UCCUAUGUGGCUCAGUCGGUAGAGCAUGGUACUUACCGUGCCAAAGGUUGUGGGUUUGAUUCCCGCUGGGGCAA